AUCAAAUCAAGCCUUGAGGGGAAGUGCAGUUUGAUUGUAUUUUGAGAAACCAGAUUUGACAUGUUCAUCAGAUGCCUUUCUUUCCCUUCAUCAUACAGGCAUAUUCCAGAGAGGCUGGCCAGAGGGUUCAAAGGAUUUGGCCAUAUCCUGGCUCCCAAGUAGUGGCUGAUCACUGUGGAGAAGUGAUCAGCCCAUAUUGAUCUGGUGAUAGCCUAUACUGUCUAUACUGAUUGGUGCUAAAAUGCAUAGAAGCUUAUUAUAUUCUUGAAUGGAUGGAUUGGUUGAUACUAUUGGGGCAGAACUUCCCCUCCUCCACAGCAAGCGAGGCUGAUCUUCUCCCAAACAUUUCUCCUUAGGUGCGCUGUGGCGCCUUUGCGAUGAUGUAUUACAUUCUCUUGGGACUUUUUCCUGAUUUCAUCUGUGAGCAAAUACUAGCAGGUGAUGCAGAGCUGUGGAGUUAGAAAAGGCUCGAGAAGUUUUCCUGAGCAAGUUUGGGGAAAGAGCCCUGAUGACUGGAAGACCAAGGUGUCAGCAAUAAGACUGGGAGAUACCCAACUGAAGGAACCAUUCAACAUCGUCUGAUCAGCACUGUGAAUCAAG
rnacentral:lncRNA from 1 species